GAGGGUAUAGCUCAAUGGCAAGAGUGCAUGCCUAGCAUGCGCAGGGUCCUGGGUUAAAUCCCCAGUACUUCCA
rnacentral:tRNA from 1 species